AUAACACCUCACCUUUUGUGGUGCCAAUAAUCGUAGUACUCAUCCUGCUUUUGUUGUCCUUUUUGGGAGGUUCAAGCAGAAGAAGGGUUUGUGUCAAGCCACCAUAUUGUCAGUUUUUUUCAUGGAGAAUAGCACGUAAGAACUUAUGAGAGAAGGUCAAAACUCAAAAGGGGUAGAAAGAAGGGGAAAACCGGAAAAGUGUGACUUUAUUUAUAAAGUAGUUUCAGCAUUGAAGUGGACAACACAAAAUUAGCACUGGUUAAAUUCUAGCAGAAAUGAGACAGAGGUAUUUGAAGAAGUUGGACAGAGACAUCUAAAAUGCGUUAAAAAUGCAAAUAGUGUUGUUUGAGGGGAAAGGCGCGGCUGGAGAAUUCACUAAGCCCCUUCAGAAAGGAGCUCUCCAUGGGGUGGGGCUGCUUUGAUCCCGGUGUUGCUGAUAAUGGUGCAAUAUCAAUCCAACUUUCUUGAUAGCUGGUUUCUUUGAUUUUGAUUUUUUCUCUAUAGGUUGGUUUUAUUUUUCUGUGCCUUUUGAUUUUUGGUUUUUACUAACUAGGAGUCUGUGGAAAAAUCCUUUGAGUAGUGUAAUUUGUAAAUAUGUAGAUACAUAUGUGACGGUGCUUGUAUGAAUAUAAUAUAUGAAUCAUGUUAAAGGUGGUUAGGUGAUUCUCAUA